rnacentral:rRNA from 1 species
AGUGAACGCUGGCGGCAGGCCUAACACAUGCAAGUCGAACGGCAGCACAAGAGAGCUUGCUCUCUGGGUGGCGAGUGGCGGACGGGUGAGGAAAACGUCGGAAUCUGCCUAUUUGUGGGGGAUAACGUAGGGAAACUUACGCUAAUACCGCAUACGACCUACGGGUGAAAGUGGAGGACCUUCGGGCUUCACGCAGAUAGAUGAGCCGACGUCGGAUUAGCUAGUUGGCGGGGUAAAGGCCCACCAAGGCGACGAUCCGUAGCUGGUCUGAGAGGAUGAUAAGCCACACUGGAACUGAGACACGGUCCAGACUCCUACGGGAGGCAGCAGUGGGGAAUAUUGGACAAUGGGCGCAAGCCUGAUCCAGCCAUGCCGCGUGGGUGAAGAAGGCCUUCGGGUUGUAAAGCCCUUUUGUUGGGAAAGAAAAGCAACCGGUUAAUACCCGGUUGUCAUGACGGUACCCAAAGAAUAAGCACCGGCUAACUUCGUGCCAGCAGCCGCCGUAA